UACGGAGGGGGCUAGCGUUGUUCGGAAUUACUGGGCGUAAAGCGCGCGUAGGCGGCUUUGUAAGUUAGAGGUGAAAGCCCCGGGCUCAACCUGGGAAUGGCAUGGGAAACUGGCGGGCUGGAGUGUGGCAGAGGGGGGUGGAAUUCCGCGUGUAGCAGUGAAAUGCGUAGAGAUGCGGAGGAACACCGAUGGCGAAGGCAGCCCCCUGGGCCAACACUGACGCUCAGGCACGAAAGCGUGGGGAGCAAACAGG
rnacentral:rRNA from 1 species